GGCAGCUUACACAUGCAAGUCGAGGGGUAUAGUUCUUCGGAACUAGAGACCGGCGCACGGGUGCGUAACGCGUAUGCAAUCUACCUUUCACAAAGGGAUAGCCCAAAGAAAUUUGGAUUAAUACCUCAUAGUAUAGCAGUUUCGCAUGAAACCACUAUUAAGGAUUUAUCGGUGAAAGAUGAGCAUGCGUCCCAUUAGCUAGUUGGUAAGGUAACGGCUUACCAAGGCAACGAUGGGUAGGGGUCCUGAGAGGGAGAUCCCCCACACUGGUACUGAGACACGGACCAAACUCCUACGGGAGGCAGCAGUGAGGAAUAUUGGACAAUGGGCGCAAGCCUGAUCCAGCCAUGCCGCGUGCAGGAUGACGGUCCUAUGGAUUGUAAACUGCUUUUAUACAAAAAAAAACCCUCCGACGUGUCGGAGCUUGACGGUAUCGUAAGAAUAAGGAUCGGCUAACUCCGUGCCAGCAGCCGCGGUAAUACGGAGGAUCCAAGCGUUAUCCGGAAUCAUUGGGUUUAAAGGGUCCGUAGGCGGUCAGGUAAGUCAGUGGUGAAAGCCCAUCGCUCAACGGUGGAACGGCCAUUGAUACUGUCUGACUUGAAUUAUUAGGAAGUAACUAGAAUAUGUAGUGUAGCGGUGAAAUGCUUAGAGAUUACAUGG
rnacentral:rRNA from 1 species